rnacentral:rRNA from 1 species
CUUGCUACCAUGCAGUCGAGCGGAGCUGCUCCUUCGGGGGUACUCGAGCGGCGUACGGGUGAGUAACCCGUGAGUAAGCUGCCCUGGACUUUGGGAUAACCCUCGGAAACGGGGGCUAAUACCGAAUACGACCUCCGCCCGCAUGGGCUGGUGGUGGAAAGUUUUUUCGGUCUGGGAUGGGCUCGCGGCCUAUCAGCUUGUUGGUGGGGUGAUGGCCUACCAAGGCAACAACCGGUAGGCGGCCUGAAAGGGCGACCGGCCCCACUGGGACUGAGACACGGCCCAUACUCCUACGGGAGGCAACACUGGGGAAUAUUGCGCAAUGGGCGGAAGCCUGAUGCAACGACUCCGCGUGAGGGAUGACGGCCUUCAGGUUGUAAACCUCUUUCAACAGGGACCAAGCGCAAGUGACGGUACCUGCAGAAGAAGCGCCGGCCAACUACGUGCCAUCAGCCGCGGUAAGACGUAGGGCGCGAGCGUUGUCCGGAUUUAUUGGGCGUAAAGAGCUCGUAAGCGGCUUGUCGCGUCGACCGUGAAAACUCGCAGCUCAACUGCGAGCCUGCGGUCGAUACGGGCAGGCUAGAGUUCGGUAGGGGAGACUGGAAUUCCUGGUGUAGCGGUGAAAUGCGCAGAUAUCAGGAGGAACACCGGUGGCGAAGGCGGGUCUCUGGGCCGAUACUGACACUGAGGAGCGAAAGCGUGGGGAGCGAACAGGAUUAGAUACCCUGGUAGUCCACUCUGUAAACGUUGGGCGCUAGGUGUGGGGGGCCUCUCCGGUUCUCUGUGCCGCAGCUAACGCAUUAAGCGCCCCGCCUGGGGAGUACGGCCGCAAGGCUAAAACUCAAAGGAAUUGNACGGGGGCCCGCACAAGCGGCGGAGCAUGCGGAUUAAUUGAUGCAACGNAGAAGAACCUUACCUGGGUUUGACAUCGCCGGAAAACUCGCAGAGAUGCGGGGUCCUUCGGGGCCGGUGACAGGUGGUGCAUGGCUGUAGUCAGCUCGUGUCGUGAGAUGUUGGGUUAAGUCCCGCAACGAGCGCAACCCUCGUUCGAUGUUGCCAGCGCGUUAUGGCGGGGACUCAUCGAAGACUGCCGGGGUCAACUCGGAGGAAGGUGGGGAUGACGUCAAGUCAUCAUCCCCAUUAUGUCCAGGGCUUCACGCACACUACAAUGGCAGGUACAAAGGGAUGGG